AUGCAACUGACGAGUCCCAAACAGAACGAAGUGCGCGUCCUGGAU
rnacentral:hammerhead_ribozyme from 1 species